rnacentral:rRNA from 1 species
CCUACGGGGCGCAGCAGGCGCGAAAACUUUGCAAUACACGAAAGUGUGACAGGGCUAUCCCGAGUGCCAUCCGCUGAGGAAGGCUUUUACCCAGUAUAGAUAGCUGGGGGAAUAAGGAGAGGGCAAGACUGGUGUCAGCCGCCGCGGUAA